rnacentral:rRNA from 2 species
GUUAAGUUGCAGGGUAUAGACCCGAAACCCGGUGAUCUAGCCAUGGGCAGGUUGAAGGUUGGGUAACACUAACUGGAGGACCGAACCGACUAAUGUUGAAAAAUUAGCGGAUGACCUGUGGCUGGGGGUGAAAGGCCAAUCAAACCGGGAGAUAGCUGGUUCUCCCCGAAAGCUAUUUAGGUAGCGCCUCGUGAAUUCAUCUCCGGGGGUAGAGCACUGUUUCGGCUAGGGGGCCAUCCCGGCUUACCAACCCGAUGCAAACUGCGAAUACCGGAGAAUGUUAUCACGGGAGACACACGGCGGGUGCUAACGUCCGUCGUGAAGAGGGAAACAACCCAGACCGCCAGCUAAGGUCCCAAAGUCAUGGUUAAGUGGGAAACGAUGUGGGAAGGCCCAGACAGCCAGGAUGUUGGCUUAGAAGCAGCCAUCAUUUAAAGAAAGCGUAAUAGCUCACUGGUCGAGUCGGCCUGCGCGGAAGAUGUAACGGGGCUAAACCAUGCACCGAAGCUGCGGCAGCGACACUGUGUGUUGUUGGGUAGGGGAGCGUUCUGUAAGCCUGUGAAGGUGUGUCGUGAGGCAUGCUGGAGGUAUCAGAAGUGCGAAUGCUGACAUAAGUAACGAUAAAGCGGGUGAAAAGCCCGCUCGCCGGAAGACCAAGGGUUCCUGUCCAACGUUAAUCGGGGCAGGGUGAGUCGACCCCUAAGGCGAGGCCGAAAGGCGUAGUCGAUGGGAAACGGGUUAAUAUUCCCGUACUUGGUGUUACUGCGAAGGGGGGACGGAGAAGGCUAUGUUGGCCGGGCGACGGUUGUCCCGGUUUAAGCGUGUAGGUGUGUGUUCCAGGUAAAUCCGGUUCACUUUAACACUGAGGCGUGACGACGAGGCACUACGGUGCUGAAGCAACAAAUGCCCUGCUUCCAGGAAAAGCCUCUAAGCAUCAGGUAACAUCAAAUCGUACCCCAAACCGACACAGGUGGUCAGGUAGAGAAUACCAAGGCGCUUGAGAGAACUCGGGUGAAGGAACUAGGCAAAAUGGUGCCGUAACUUCGGGAGAAGGCACGCUGACACGUAGGUGAAGUGAUUUACUCAUGGAGCUGAAGUCAGUCGAAGAUACCAGCUGGCUGCAACUGUUUAUUAAAAACACAGCACUGUGCAAACACGAAAGUGGACGUAUACGGUGUGACGCCUGCCCGGUGCCGGAAGGUUAAUUGAUGGGGUCAGCGCAAGCGAAGCUCCUGAUCGAAGCCCCGGUAAACGGCGGCCGUAACUAUAACGGUCCUAAGGUAGCGAAAUUCCUUGUCGGGUAAGUUCCGACCUGCACGAAUGGCGUAAUGAUGGCCAGGCUGUCUCCACCCGAGACUCAGUGAAAUUGAACUCGCUGUGAAGAUGCAGUGUACCCGCGGCAAGACGGAAAGACCCCGUGAACCUUUACUAUAGCUUGACACUGAACAUUGAGCCUUGAUGUGUAGGAUAGGUGGGAGGCUUUGAAGUGUGGACGCCAGUCUGCAUGGAGCCGACCUUGAAAUACCACCCUUUAAUGUUUGAUGUUCUAACGUGGACCCGUUACCCGGGUUGCGGACAGUGUCUGGUGGGUAGUUUGACUGGGGCGGUCUCCUCCUAAAGAGUAACGGAGGAGCACGAAGGUUGGCUAAUCCUGGUCGGACAUCAGGAGGUUAGUGCAAUGGCAUAAGCCAGCUUGACUGCGAGCGUGACGGCGCGAGCAGGUGCGAAAGCAGGUCAUAGUGAUCCGGUGGUUCUGAAUGGAAGGGCCAUCGCUCAACGGAUAAAAGGUACUCCGGGGAUAACAGGCUGAUACCGCCCAAGAGUUCAUAUCGACGGCGGUGUUUGGCACCUCGAUGUCGGCUCAUCACAUCCUGGGGCUGAAGUAGGUCCCAAGGGUAUGGCUGUUCGCCAUUUAAAGUGGUACGCGAGCUGGGUUUAGAACGUCGUGAGACAGUUCGGUCCCUAUCUGCCGUGGGCGCUGGAGAACUGAGGGGGGCUGCUCCUAGUACGAGAGGACCGGAGUGGACGCAUCACUGGUGUUCGGGUUGUCAUGCCAAUGGCACUGCCCGGUAGCUAAAUGCGGAAGAGAUAAGUGCUGAAAGCAUCUAAGCACGAAACUUGCCCCGAG